rnacentral:lncRNA from 1 species
GGCCCCCAGUUCAGCUGCAGCCUGAGCUCCAGCCCAGGAUCAGCUGGAGGCCCUGACGAAGAGGAAGAGGACUGGAUUCGGAACCAGGCAUACAAAAGGGCUAAAUACCUCCCCUGAGUAAAAUUUUAUCUACUG